CACAUCAGACGGGCAAUCGCUGGCUUUUAAUAAAAGCGGGAGGAAAGUCCGGGCUCCACAAAGCGCAGUACCGGUUAACGCCCGGGGGUUUGGGUAUAAUGCCCAGGCUAUGGAAAGUGCCACAGAGAAUAUACCGCCGCAAGGUAAGGGUGAAAAGGCGAGGUAAGAGCUCACCGCCUGUUUAGUAAUAAACAGGGCAUGGAAAACCCUGCUGGGAGCAAGACCAAAUAGGAAAUGAGAGUAGCUUUGCUCGUUUGAAUUUCGGGUAUAGGUUGCUGAUGAACGACCUGAGUAAUCAGGCGUCUAGAGGAAUGAUUGCCUCCGGAGCACGCAAGUGCAACGAAGACAGGACCCGGCUUACAGUCUGAUGUGGUUU
rnacentral:RNase_P_RNA from 1 species